AGUCGGAAGCUUGAAUUGGCUGCAAACGGCCGACAUGUUUGAAAUUAAAAUUGACGUAAAAAAAGACAUUGCUUCGCGCUCUUUCGCUCCGCUUUGUUAGUCUGCAAGACUAUUCAGAACCAUCUCUUGCCGGGUAAACAGAUAAGCGCUAUUCGGGUUCACGCGUAUAAUUUGAUAAGGCGUUUGGCGUCAGUUGCAGGCUACAGAAAGGAUAGGACGAUAAAAUAAGAUUGAAAAACAAGCAGAGAUUAUCAGAACUCGGAUGGAAAUAUCUUCUUAUUACAUAAAGGAGUGUUCAAAUCGAGUUAGUUAACUGGCAAAUGCCCCGGCGAUAAAAUGUACAGAAACGUAUCUAAUAUCAUUGGAGAAAAUUACUGUCGCUUGGGCACAUGCGUGUCUCGCGAUAGAAUAUUACCAAGAAAUCAAAUUAACUUUCCUUGUGCGAAUCGGCGGAGAAUUUUAGCAAAGUUUUAUCAUAGUAAACAUGGCGUCUAUGGAUACAAACCGAAGACUUAUAAGAAAUAUUACGAAGUAUCCAGAGAAAGUCUGACGUCACGAGCUAAAUACAGCAAUUUUUACAGACUGGUCACAGCCUACAGAGAACAUGGUCACAAACAGGCAAGCAUAGAUCCCAUAUCACUGCAAACACCUAGUCCGUCGCCGGAAUUGAACCUGAAUAAAUUUGGCCUUAAUGGCGACGAAAAAGUUUCCUUUCAAGGAAUUUUGAACGCGAAACAAACGGAAGGGUCUGUAAACGUGGCGUUGAGUAUUUUGAGAAAGGUUUACGCUGGUCCUAUAGGAGUUGAAUUUAGUUACUUAGAGACUGAAGAGGAAAGAGAAUGGUUCGCGCAAAAUUUCGAAGAGGUUUACAUGGAGGCGUUGGACAGGGAUACAAAGAGGGCAAUAGUUACGGAAAUGCUGAAGAGUCAGGCUUUGGACAAAUUUUUGGCUAUAAAAUUUGUAACAUUCAAAAGAUACGGUGGAGAAGGUGCCGAAAGUAUGAUGGCGUUUUUUCACGAAUUCUUCAAGCAAGCAACAGCUGCAAAAUUAGAUCACAUCGUGAUGUGUAUGCCGCAUCGUGGGAGACUGAAUUUUUUGACCGGAAUGCUGAGGUUUCCACCAAAGAAACUUUUUCGCAAAUUACGAGGCUUCGCAGAGUUUCCAGAAGACGUUAAAGCGACCGGAGACGUGACAAGUCACUUCACCUCAUCCGUUGAUCUCUCCUUCGACCAAAGAAACCUACACGUCACUAUGCUUUACAAUCCAUCCCAUUUGGAAGCUGUGAACCCUGUGUCAAUGGGAAAGACAAGGGGCGUUAUGCAGGCAGUUGGGGAUGGGGCUUAUUCUCGUGGCCAGGAUUUGGCUUGGAGCGACAAAGUACUGAAUCUACAGGUUCAUGGGGAUGCAGCGUACGCGGGUCAAGGCGUUAAUCAAGAAUCAUUGGCCCUACACGCAGCCCCACAUUUUGAAAUCGGUGGUUCUGUACAUUUAAUCGUUAAUAACCAAUUGGGAUUUACAACACCUGCAGACAGAGGAAGGUCCUCAAGGUAUUGCACCGAUAUAGCUAAAAGCAUAUCUGCUCCAGUAUUGCACGUCAACGGCGAUGAUCCAGAGAUGGUUGUUCGUGCCACGCGACUCGCCUGUCGAUACCAAAGAAAAUUUAGGAAAGAUGUAUUCGUCGACAUGAACUGCUUUAGGAGAUGGGGACACAACGAGCUCGAUGAUCCUACGUUCACGAAUCCCGCUAUUUACAAAAUUAUCCAAACCCGCAAGUCAGUACCAGAUAAAUAUGCAGAAGAACUAAUAAAGGCAGAGAUUAUGACGACUGACGAAGCCAAGUCUAUAGUUUCCGAGCACACAGCUUGGCUUGCAGAGUCUCUGAGGCAAGUCGACAAUUACGUACCGGAACCGGUCUAUUUUGGCGGAAGGUGGUCCGAGAUGUCACAGGCACAAGCUAGCGUUUCCAAAUGGAAUACAGGAGUCGAUGUAGAUCUGUUAAGAUUCAUUGCAAGCAAAAGUGUGCAGUGCCUGGAAUUGGAAAUUCAUCCCCACCUUUUAAAAUCACACGUUGAAGCGAGAUUGAACAAAGUGUCCGAUGGACUAAAGAUAGACUGGGCAACUGCCGAGGCAUUGGCCUUCGGGUCUUUACUUCACGAAGGCUACAACGUCAGGAUUAGCGGCCAGGACGUUGGACGAGGCACAUUUUCGCACAGACAUGCUAUGCUGGUAGAUCAGUCAACAGGUGAUAUUCACAUUCCCCUGAACUCGAUGACCGAAACCCAAACCGGGAAGUUGGAAUUAGCCAAUAGUAUUUUAUCCGAAGAAGCGGUUCUCGGUUUCGAGUAUGGUUUGAGCAUAGCUUCACCAUCGACCCUUGCGAUAUGGGAGGCACAAUUUGGGGACUUUUUCAACGGUGCCCAGAUCAUAAUUGACACAUUCGUAAGCAGUGGCGAGGUUAAAUGGAUGAUUAGCAGUGGAUUGACCAUGCUACUGCCGCAUGGUUACGAUGGCGCGGGACCGGAACACAGUUCCUGCAGAAUGGAAAGAUUUCUCCAGCUGACAGACAGCAACGAGGAUAGACCAGACGGAGACGAUGUUAACAUGCAGCUAGCCAACCCAACGACACCGGCGCAGUAUUUCCAUUUACUCAGAAGACAGAUGGUGCGGAAUUUUAGAAAACCACUUAUCGUAGUGGCACCGAAAAUUUUAAUUCGACAUUCCGCGGCAACUUCGUCGCUGACGGAUAUGGAAACAGGGACAAGUUUUGUCAACGUUAUUGGCAAGCAUUUCAUUUAUCUAUCCUCAAGCGGUUUUCAAACAUGCAGUUAUCUCACAUGGAACACAAUCUAUUCCAGGAGACACGACGGUCAAUCCGGCUGAAGUGAAGAAGCGUUUAUCUGGAGUCAGGAAGAACCACAAAAUAUGGGAGCGUGGAGUUUCGUAAAACCCCGUUUCGAGAACCUGUGUGGACGGCAGUUAAAAUACUCCGGCAGAC
rnacentral:misc_RNA from 1 species